GCCAAAGUAGCUGAUAGCAAGUAGAUAGCGUACGUGCGGCAUUGGUACAUGUGUUGCAAGUUGCAGCCUGCAAGGUCGCCCUCUGUUCCGCCCUGCCCAUCAAUGGAGCCAGUGUUUUACUCGAGCCGAGUGCCGCGCGGCCAUGGAUGGAUAUGAACAUGAUCUCUUGCCCGUGCUCACUUCAUCCGAUCCAGAAUUCCAGAUUCCAGAGUGCUAACGUUUGCAUCACCAUCUUAUCAGUUUCCUGUAGACCUGGAGAAAGGGUCAAUGACGUAAAGGUACCUCAUAUUUUCCUAAGUACGAGCUCAUGAGGAUGGACAGCUGUACUGAGAGAGUAGUAAGCUACCACAAGCUAAAAUUUCUGAUCUUUAACUGCAAGAUGGCUCGGUGCAAAGCAGCUCAUUUCAGGAAAAGCUAGCCCAUGGUAUUUAAUCAGACCUGCCAAUUAGCAUCAAGAUUCCAGCAAGCAUCAUGCACUGGGGCUCUCCUGGUAGCCUGCCAUGCAUCCUGACACGGUCCAAAUAACCAUCACUUCUUUUUUUUUUUUUUGCUACUAGAAAACAUGCUGAUGAUUCUUAGUCUAGAUCGAGCAUGAUUCUGGAAGCGUCACUCUCAGAGAUAUGGUUCGUCUUGAAAGGAGAUUAAGAGAUGAUAUGCACUGUUAGGCACCUGCAAUUUGGCUCUCUUAGCUAGCUCCAAGUUGGCGUGCAGAAAUAAUACUGAAAGGCAGAAAGCCAGGUUCCCGUGCCUCUUUUUCGCCGAAAAAAAAUGUUAUUUGGGGGCAGCAUUGAUGCAAUUAUAGUUAUGGCUUCGGGUCAGUUGAACUAAAUAAUUCAGGCGUGCAAGCAGCAGAUGGAUUCAAAGCAGCCGCCCUAGCCUCUUUCCUUAUUACCAUCUAUAUGAAUCUAUAUGAAUAUAGAAAGGGUCAAAGCAUCUUAUAAUGUGAAACCUUAUU